UACAGAGGGUGCAAGCGUUAAUCGGAAUUACUGGGCGUAAAGCGUGCGUAGGUGGAUAUUUUAGUCGAAUGUGAAAGCCCCGGGCUUAACCUGGGAACUGCAUCCGAUACUGAAUAUCUAGAGUAUGGUAGAGGAAAGUGGAAUUCCCGGUGUAGUGGUGAUAUGCGUAGAUAUCGGGAGGAACACCUGUGGCGAAGGCGGCUUUCUGGGCCCUACCUGACGCUGAGACGCGAAAGCGUGGGGAGCGAACCGG
rnacentral:rRNA from 1 species